rnacentral:rRNA from 2 species
ACUGCGGUAGGACAUUG